GCGGGACGCCAAGGCCCGCCCAGGAGGGGGCUGCGACCCGCGGUGACCUGCCGGCCCCCGCUCUCCACCCGGGGGCUCGGCCUCCCGCCCCUGCCGGUUGGGGCGGGGAGGCACUCCGGGCAUUGCCGAGGUGGUGGUCACCGGAUAUGCAGAUCCCCUCACCUUUGUUCUGUGCUGUAGCUUUGCAACCUGCCUUCACUACUUUUUCUUUCGCUCCACCCUGAAGACCAUCCUUGUAAAAGUCCCUGGGCACUGAUCUCCCCCUGCCAGAGCCAAGAGCUCUGAGCCACCCUGCUGUUCUCCAUAGAUGUCUUUCCAGGGGCUGAAGUACAGGGUCUGUGGCAAGGAGAAACACGGGGCGUGGGAGCCUAGACCCUGAUGCUCCCUGACUCUCUAGCAUCCAUUCACCAUCCAUGACAGGCCUCCUCCAUGCCAGGCGCGGAUGUGGCAGGUCAGAAGGCCACUUGGCCACGUCUCUGCUGGGUUCCCUCCACUCUACUCAGCCCAGGGCAGUGUAAAAGGAAGGUGGGGCCUGCCCCCUGGCUUGGCCAGGCCACGAAUCACUUUUCUUUUUUUUCAUGACAAACAGUUUCCCACCAAAAGACUAGUGUGAUCUUGUUUCUUGGGGACUGAUGGUGAGGUUUGCUUUCCAGCUUUCUCAGAGACUUGCGAAAUCUGAGACCCAAGCCACAGCCUGUGGCGAUGUGUCAGCCCCAAGCCAGAGGUUAUGAGGGAAGGACAAGCAGAGAGAAGCCCGAGGAAAGAAGUUGGGAGCCUAGGAGCAUUGGAAG